UCAGCACCUCGCUAGGCGAGGCUCCUGAACGAACAGAAGCCACUGAUCCGACGACGUCGAGAGACGCCCAGGGUCAGGACAGGUCUCCCCGGAUUAAGGGGUUACCCAAAGUGGCUAUCCGCUCGCGGAUUACGUCGUUCAGUGCCGAAGCUCUGACGAGAGGGGUGUAAG
rnacentral:sRNA from 2 species